AUCAAUGAUCAUUUGAGUAUGUAAAUAAUAUCUAUGUCUUUGUUCAUGUAAUUUUUAUUUUGAUCUUAUAAGCAUGUUGUUCUUUCAAUAUGAGAUAAUUGUGACAUGACUUUUUGAUUUAUUGGGUUCUCUACACAAGUUUCUAAAUUUCUUUAACUCUUUCAGAAAUUCAGAAAAGAAGACAAGCAACUUUAGGGAACUGAGGCAUUUAUAAAGGGAUCUCAUAUUUUCAUCUCAGCUAGGUUUGGUUCAUUUGGCUAUUUUUUCACUUUCAAGUGGCUUCAUUGGAUUUCAAAUUGGAGGGAACUUUAUUUGCAGCAGUUUGCAAGAGAAACUAGUCAAAGAGUUUGCCAAGUACAAGAUAUGUCACCUCCAUCUACAAAAGGAAAGAGGCCAAAACACAUACCUACAGGAAAAUUAGUUAA